rnacentral:rRNA from 1 species
AUGAUCCUACGGGACGCAGCAGUGAGGAAUAUUGGUCAAUGGACGGAAGUCUGAACCAGCCAUGCCGCGUGCAGGAAGACGGCUCUAUGAGUUGUAAACUGCUUUUGUACAAGGGUAAACCUGAAUACAUGUAUUCAGCUGAAAGUACUGUACGAAUAAGGAUCGGCUAACUCCGUGCCAGCAGCCGCGGUAAUACGGAGGAUCCAAGCGUUAUCCGGAUUUAUUGGGUUUAAAGGGUGCGUAGGCGGAUUGAUAAGUUAGAGGCGAAAUGUCCGAGCUCAACUCGGGAACUGCCUCUAAUACUG